rnacentral:tRNA from 22 species
GGGUGCAUAGCUCAGUUGGUAGAGCAGCUGACUCUUAAUCAGCGGGUCGUAGGUUCGAAUCCUACUGCACCCACCA